UAAACGACUCUCGGCAACGGAUAUCUCGGCUCACGCAUCGAUGAAGAACGUAGCAAAAUGCGAUACUUGGUGUGAAUUGC
rnacentral:rRNA from 1 species